rnacentral:rRNA from 1 species
UUGGAGGGCAAGUCUGGUGCCAGCAGCCGCGGUAAUUCCAGCUCCAAUAGCGUAUAUUAAAGUUGUUGCAGUUAAAAAGCUCGUAGUUGAAUUUCGGGAUCAAAUUGUCGGUCGUGCCUCGGUACGCACUGGUAUUAUUGGUUCCUACCUUCUGAAGAACCGCGAUGUCAUUAAUUUGGUGUCGUGGGGAAUCAGGACUGUUACUUUGAAAAAAUUAGAGUGUUUAAAGCAGGCUUACGCUUGAAUACGUUAGCAUGGAAUAAUGAAAUAGGACGUUUGAUUCUAUUUUGUUGGUUUCUAGGAUUGACGUAAUGAUUAAUAGGGAUAGUUGGGGGCAUUAGUAUUCAAUUGUCAGAGGUGAAAUUCUUGGAUUUAUUGAAGGCUAACUACUGCGAAAGCAUUUGCCAAGGAUGUUUUCAUUAAUCAAGAACGAAAGUUAGGGGAUCGAAGACGAUCAGAUACCGUCGUAGUCUUAACCAUAAACUAUGCCGACUAGGGAUCGGAUGAUGUUAAUUUUUUAAUGACUCAUUCGGCGCCUUACGGGAAAC